GACGAACGCUGGCGGCGUGCCUAAUACAUGCAAGUCGAACGCUGAAGGAGGAGCUUGCUUCUCUGGAUGAGUUGCGAACGGGUGAGUAACGCGUAGGUAACCUGCCUGGUAGCGGGGGAUAACUAUUGGAAACGAUAGCUAAUACCGCAUAACAGUAGAUAUCGCAUGAUAUCUACUUGAAAGGUGCAAUUGCAUCACUACCAGAUGGACCUGCGUUGUAUUAGCUAGUUGGUGAGGUAACGGCUCACCAAGGCGACGAUACAUAGCCGACCUGAGAGGGGGAUCGGCCACACUGGGACUGAGACACGGCCCAGACCCCUACGGGAGGCAGCAGUAGGGAAUCUUCGGCAAUGGACGGAAGGCUGACCGAGCAACGCCGCGGGAGGGAAGAAGGGUUUCGGAUCGUAAAGCUCUGUUGUAAGAGAAGAAAGAGUGUGAGAGUGGAAAGUUCACACUGUGACGGUAUCUUACCAGAAAGGGACGGCUAACUACGUG
rnacentral:rRNA from 1 species